GACGGGGACCCGCACAAGCGGUGGAUGAUGUGGAUUAAUUCGAUGCAACGCGAAAACCUUACCUACCCUUGACAUGUCUGGAACCUUGCUGAGAGGCGAGGGUGCCUUCGGGAGCCAGAACACAGGUGCUGCAUGGCUGUCGUCAGCUCGUGUCGUGAGAUGUUGGGUUAAGUCCCGCAACGAGCGCAACCCUUGUCAUUAGUUGCCAUCAUUUAGUUGGGCACUCUAAUGAGACUGCCGGUGACAAACCGGAGGAAGGUGGGGAUGACGUCAAGUCCUCAUGGCCCUUAUGGGUAGGGCUUCACACGUCAUACAAUGGUCGGUACAGAGGGUUGCCAAGCCGCGAGGUGGAGCCAAUCCCUUAAAGCCGAUCGUAGUCCGGAUCGUAGUCUGCAACUCGACUACGUGAAGUCGGAAUCGCUAGUAAUCGCAGGUCAGCAUACUGCGGUGAAUACGUUCCCGGGUCUU
rnacentral:rRNA from 1 species